rnacentral:rRNA from 1 species
AUUGAACGCUGGCGGCAGGCUUAACACAUGCAAGUCGAGCGGGGGAAGGUAGCUUGCUACUGGACCUAGCGGCGGACGGGUGAGUAAUGCUUAGGAAUCUGCCUAUUAGUGGGGGACAACAUCUCGAAAGGGAUGCUAAUACCGCAUACGUCCUACGGGAGAAAGCAGGGGAUCUUCGGACCUUGCGCUAAUAGAUGAGCCUAAGUCGGAUUAGCUAGUUGGUGGGGUAAAGGCCUACCAAGGCGACGAUCUGUAGCGGGUCUGAGAGGAUGAUCCGACACACUGGGACUGAAACACGGCCCAGACUCCUACGGGAGGCAGCAGUGGGGAAUAUUGGACAAUGGGGGGAACCCUGAUCCAGCCAUGCCGCGUGUGUGAAGAAGGCCUUAUGGUUGUAAAGCACUUUAAGCGAGGAGGAGGCUACUCUAGUUAAUACCUAGGGAUAGUGGACGUUACUCACAGAAUAAGCACCGGCUAACUCUGUGCCAGCCGCCGCGGUAA